rnacentral:rRNA from 1 species
UACGGAAGGGGCUAGCGUUGUUCGGAAUUACUGGGCGUAAAGAGCGCGUAGGCGGCUUACCAAGUUGGGGGUGAAAUCCCGGAGCUCAACUCCGGAACUGCCUUCAAAACUGGUAGGCUCGAGUCCGGAAGAGGGGCGUGGAAUUCCCAGUGUGGAGGUGAAAUUCGUAGAUAUUGGGAAGAACACCGGUGGCGAAGGUGGCGCCCGGGCCCGGUACUGACGCUGAGGCGCGAAAGCGUGGGGAGCAAACAGG